AUGACGAGAGUGAAGAAUAGUUACUAUGUAUUUCCAGGAGAACCUGAACCCAAGCGCACCAUGUCAAACACUAACAUCAUUGGGAAGGUAAUGUUCCUAACUACUGUGGCCCGGCCUCGAUAUAACAAUGCGGGGGAGCUAACAUUCGAUGGGAGGAUUGGCAUUUGGGCAUUCAUCGAAGAGAUUGAGGCGUUGCGAACAAGUCAGAAUAGAGAAAAGGGAACAAAAGUGCUGAAAUCAGUAAAAGUAACCAGACCUGUGUGCUGA
rnacentral:rRNA from 1 species